GUGCCCAUUUAGACACAUCUGAUAAAAUUGGAACGAUACAGAAAAGUUUAUCAUAACCCCAUCACAAAAAUGACACACACAAAUCAAGAAAUGAUCCAACUUUAU